GAUGAACGCUGGCGGCGUGCCUAACACAUGCAAGUCGAACGGAGAUUACGGACGGAAGUUUUCGGAUGGAAGACUGUAAUUCUUAGUGGCGGACGGGUGAGUAACGCGUGGGCAACCUGCCCUAUACAGGGGGAUAGCAGCUGGAAACGGCUGGUAAGACCGCAUAAGUCGGCGAGACCGCAUGGUUUUGCCGGGAAAUGAGCAAUCAGGUAUAGGAUGGGCCCGCGUCCGAUUAGCCAGUUGGCAGGGUAAAAGCCUACCAAAGCAACGAUCGGUAGCCGGACUGAGGAGUCGGACGGGCACAUUGGGAAUGAGACACGGCCCAAACUCCUACGGGAGGCAGCAGUGGGGGAUAUUGCACAAUGGAGGAAACUCUGAUGCAGCGACGCCGCGUGAGUGAAGAAGUAUUUCGGUAUGUAAAGCCCUAUCAGCAGGGAAGAUGAUGACGGUACCUGACUAAGAAGCCCCGGCUAACUACGUG
rnacentral:rRNA from 1 species